rnacentral:rRNA from 1 species
UACGUAGGGGGCUAGCGUUGUCCGGAAUCAUUGGGCGUAAAGAGCGUGUAGGCGGCCCGGUAAGUCCGCUGUGAAAGUCCAGGCUCAACCCUGGGAUGCCGGUGGAUACUGCCGGGCUCGAGUCCGGAAGAGGCGAGUGGAAUUCCUGGUGUAGCGGUGAAAUGCGCAGAUAUCAGGAGGAACACCAAUGGCGAAGGCAGCUCGCUGGGACGUGACUGACGCUGAGACGCGAAAGCGUGGGGAGCAAACAGG